UACGUAGGGCGCAAGCGUUAUCCGGAAUUAUUGGGCGUAAAGAGCUCGUAGGCGGUUUGCCGCGUCUGCCGUGAAAGUCCGGGGCUCAACUCCGGAUCUGCGGUGGGUACGGGCAGACUAGAGUGAUGUAGGGGAGACUGGAAUUCCUGGUGUAGCGGUGAAAUGCGCAGAUAUCAGGAGGAACACCGAUGGCGAAGGCAGGUCUCUGGGCAUUAACUGACGCUGAGGAGCGAAGGCAUGGGGAGCGAACAGG
rnacentral:rRNA from 1 species